rnacentral:tRNA from 1 species
UACAUUGUAGUGUAUAUGCACAAGAAUUUUUGAAGUUCUUAGGGUUAGUUGAAUUCUAAUUAAUGUAU